UAAAGAAGGUUAGAAAAAAAAAGAAAUACAUGAGAAAAGAUAGAGAGAAUAAAACAAGGUGAAAAUAGAGGAAUACAUAAGGAAAGAUGAAAAUUAGAAAGACGGA